AAGUCGUAACAAGGUUUCCGUAGGUGAACCUGCGGAAGGAUCAUUAACAUUUGUAUUUGAAUUGUGGUGGUGGUGUGUUGUUGUGUGUUCUUCAUGCACAACUCAUCAUCAUCUCAACCCCAUUGUGUGCAUGUUUUGUGUGCGAGUAGUAAGGGGAGGUUUUUACCCCUCCUUCUCUCACUCACUUCUUUCACUUUCACACCCAAACCCCUUCUUCUCAUCACACUAGACUGACUUUACACCUCGUUUUACUCAGGCUCAACUGAGCAAAACAUCAAUCAGCAUACAACUCUUAGCAACGGAUAUCUAGGCUCUC
rnacentral:misc_RNA from 1 species